GCACAUUUGUUGGAGAUCCUAUUUAUUCACGCCAUUCUAUCAUAUUGACCUGAAACUGUAUGACGCUGCACAGACAUCGGAUGCUCUGGCUGGUGUGGUAAGCCCCAUACUAGAAGCCACUGAUGCGUGGAUGGGAGACCAUGGACUUCAACUAGCACGACACAAGCCUGAGGCCAUCAUGUUGUCAAAGAAGUGGUCGUACCGGGAUCCGGUGAACUUAAUGUCUUAAUAGGAGGACGCCCAGUUCCUUUAAUAAAGAAGGAUAUCCUGCUCGCUGACUGGUCCAGUAGGUGGAGGCACUGGCACGGUAAGAACUCAGCUUGAACGCGUAAGAUCCUCCCGGACUUGAUAAGAUGGGUGAGAAGACGCCCCAAAGACCUCACUUCAACGUAACUCAGACUCUUACGGGACAUGGAUGCUUCAGGUACUAUUUGCACCGGAGGAAGCGCACCUCCGACGCAGCUUGCCCCUACUGCCAGCACCCGAUGGAUACGGCCAAACACACAAUU